AUUUAAUGUUAAAUAUUUAGUUAUGUCGUCAAAGUUAUUAAUAAUUUGUUAUAAAUGUACGACUCAGAUAUAUUGAAAUAAGAAGUCUGAAUUAUUCCAAGCAUUUACGUAGUUGCUGAGCUUUGAUUCGGGACAUUUCUCUGCUUGUAAGAAAGCAAAGAAGAAUUUCUUUGCUUACCUUGGCAUUGAGAGAAGAUAUUUUCUAUAAAAUUAUAUAUGUACUGUGCCAAUAUUUCUUCUCUAUAUUUAUAUAGGUUAGUAAUAUCCACAGAUAUACGUCAAAGUUUU